rnacentral:lncRNA from 1 species
ACAUAGACCCUGUGAGCUCCAUUUCCACUUAAGUAACAGUCAGGAGACAAAGACACAGGCUGUAAGGUCACCCAGGUUCUAAUACUCCGAUUUUUUUUUUAUCUUUAAGACUAAAUAUUAUUUUAAAACUUUGUACUUUUUGCAGAUGCUCCUCAAUUGCUGACACUCAGCAAAAGAAAGCUUGGAAGGCUGGGACUCCUUGAUAGCUUUGAAAGCACUUGCUUCUUCAAGAGCUUUGUUUGCAGAACUUACAGCAGGAAACUGUUGCCCUUUGGGGUCCUGCCUUAAAGCAGGAUAAGACUUGGCUGCUCAGAGAAGAAUAUCCUGAGGAACUGGGGGAGGAGCCACCCAGCAUCAGGUCAAAUGUGGCAGCUCCUUCUACCACCAUGGUAAGUGACAUUUAUUUAUCUGCUGAAAAAAUAGCCUCAUUUCCUGCUUUUCAAACAAAUGCAAAUAUGGAAGUCUACAGUGUUCCGAGCAAUGGCAGC